CAGCAGUAGGGAAUCUUCCACAAUGGGCGCAAGCCUGAUGGAGCAACACCGCGUGAGUGAAGUAAGGGUUUCGGCUCGUAAAGCUCUGUUGUUAAAGAAGAACACGUAUGAGAGUAACUGUUCAUACGUUGACGGUAUUUAACCAGAAAGUCACGGCUAACUACGUGCCAGCAGCCGCGGUAAUACGUAGGUGGCAAGCGUUAUCCGGAUUUAUUGGGCGUAAAGAGAGUGCAGGCGGUUUUCUAAGUCUGAUGUGAAAGCCUUCGGCUUAACCGGAGAAGUGCAUCGGAAACUGGAUAACUUGAGUGCAGAAGAGGGUAGUGGAACUCCAUGUGUAGCGGUGGAAUGCGUAGAUAUAUGGAAGAACACCAGUGGCGAAGGCGGCUACCUGGUCUGCAACUGACGCUGAGACUCGAAAGCAUGGGUAGCGAACAGGAUUAGACUACCCUGGUAG
rnacentral:rRNA from 1 species